GGACAAGGCCCACACGCCCGGCCCACGUGUACCGCUGCUGGGCUGUGAGAACUAAGGGAUCCACCAAACAGUGGGGACUCUGUAAAAGAAUGCGCAAGGUGAAAAUAGGUCAGGUGUCGAGUAGCUAUUCUCAUUAUCCUCUAGGUGAAUGUAGAGGUCCCGCCGUCAGUUAUCAACCAUGAAUAAGUCCAGCAUUGGUUGGUGGUUGAAAAUCGACCCUCCUCUAAACAAUUCUGAACAUGCAAAGAGUUUUUAUACCCUGCACACCGGUCCUUGACUGCCCUUGCCCGUGUUUCAGAGAACAGUGAAGGACACUCCUGCCUCUGAGGACUGUCAACCACAAGAUUCUACCCACAGAACACUAAUUGCUCUAAGGGCUGGACCUAGCCCUGACCCUACAGAAUAAAAAGACCCAGUUUGGGACUUGAAAUCCUAUCAGUUCGCACCCUGCAAAUCUCCACCCUGGAAAGCAACCCUCCUCUAACCCUUCUCUCCUCAAAUUAUAUAUAUUUAUAAUAUAUAUUAAUUUAUAAUACAUGUAAUAUAUGCCCUCUGCUCAGUUCUCUGCUGCUUCUCACCUGAGCAGAGGCAGCCACCCUCCUGGCUUCUUC